CGACUCCAUUGAAAAGAAACAUAAUAUAUGGAAAAAUUACUAGAAAAUCUAGGAAAACUGACUGAAUGCUUUGGAAAGACACAGUCAAGAUUAAAAAAAAUGUGUCACAAGAAAGUUUACAGAACCUACUCAAACUCAAAGAGAAAUCAGAGACUAAAUUCUCAAAACUGGAAGCUCCCUACAGCAUCCACACUCUUCAGCCUUGUACUAUGUGAUGUGUAUUACGAAUGGAGCCACCGGCAGUAUUUGUAUGAACAUGAGACAAUGUGUGGCAGAUGCUUGGUGCUUUGUAAUAUUUAGUAAAAUAAAACAAUAAUAAUGUAACUAUAAUA
rnacentral:lncRNA from 10 species